UAUUUCAGAGACAGUGUGCGUGUGUGUGUGCAUGCGUGCGAAGCGUAGGCAUAGCAACGGGUUUUUAGAUACCCUACAGUGGAUAGACGCUUUUGGCUGCUUUGCUAAUGACAUUACCCUUUGCUAACUGACUAAUUGAAAAAAACAGAGAUAGACUUAUGGGAAAUGCAUGCAGUGAGAGCGAGAGAAAUAUAUGCGUCGCUUUCCGGUUGAGCUGGGAGUCGCUCUGCGGCAGAUUCCUUACACUUUUCAGAUCCAAUUUUGCUAGCUACCCAGCUUCCAAGCAAGGUAUUCCAUAUUCGAAUCAAGUUCAGAUAUGAUUCAGUUUUCAGCACGCUACCCUCCAGACUGGCGGUCAUUUGAGGCUAACAUACGUCCUUCCAGGCACUCCGCACAGAUCAAUCGGCGAUAAUGGGCGCGUCAUCACGUCGUUAGCCUGUCAUAUGGAAGGCCAUAUGUCAGGAUUGUGGAUCGGUUGCCAAGUGCAAGGGAAAAAAUUAGCAAUCAACCAGAAAUCUUGCAAUUGUGCAAAGAAUAUGUAAAACGAAUAAUCUUUUGGGCUUGCAGAAGGAAAAGGAGAAAGUCGCAUGCCUAUAUAGUCUCAUAGUAGGCUUUAUCAUAAAAACUUCCACAUUUCAGCCUUUUUUGUAGUGGACGAGUAUCACUUCCUUCCCUUCCAAUUGACAGAGAUGAGAUGAUCACCACAGCGUAUGGAAGGCGGUUGGCAUUGA